rnacentral:rRNA from 1 species
CUGCCCCUUGGUUCGGAAUAACAGUUGGAAACGACUGCUAAUACCGGAUGAUGACGUAAGUCCAAAGAUUUAUCGCCGAGGGAUGAGCCCGCGUAGGAUUAGGUAGUUGGUGUGGUAAAGGCGCACCAAGCCGACGAUCCUUAGCUGGUCUGAGAGGAUGAUCAGCCACACUGGGACUGAGACACGGCCCAGACUCCUACGGGAGGCAGCAGUGGGGAAUAUUGGACAAUGGGCGAAAGCCUGAUCCAGCAAUGCCGCGUGAGUGAUGAAGGCCUUAGGGUUGUAAAGCUCUUUUACCCGGGAUGAUAAUGACAGUACCGGGAGAAUAAGCUCCGGCUAACUCCGUGCCAGCAGCCGCGGUAAUACGGAGGGAGCUAGCGUUAUUCGGAAUUACUGGGCGUAAAGCGCACGUAGGCGGCUUUGUAAGUAAGAGGUGAAAGCCCAGAGCUCAACUCUGGAAUUGCCUUUUAGACUGCAUCGCUUGAAUCAUGGAGAGGUCAGUGGAAUUCCGAGUGUAGAGGUGAAAUUCGUAGAUAUUCGGAAGAACACCAGU